AAUCAACGCUGGCGGCGUGCCUAACACAUGCAAGUCGAACGCGAAAGCGUCUUCGGACGUGAGUAGAGUGGCGUCCGGGUGAGUAACACGUAGGUAAUCUACCUUCGGGUGGGAAUAACGCCUCGAAAGAGGCGCUAAUACCGCAUAACGCAGCGGCAGCUAAUGCUGAUUAGUUGUUAAAGCGGGGACCGAGAGAUCGGCCUCGCGCCUGAAGAGGAGCCUGCGGCAGAUUAGUCUAGUUGGCGGGGUAACGGCCCACCAGGGCGACGAUCUGUAGCUGGUCUGAGAGGACGGCCAGCCACACUGGC
rnacentral:rRNA from 1 species